rnacentral:lncRNA from 1 species
AACAAUGGCCAAAGGAAGAUGUGGAGAAGCUGGUGAGGCAGGUUGGUGGAAUCAAGAUGCUGAUUGACUGUUUGCAUGGUAUCACAGCAAUGCUAAAGAAGAAAGAAAAAGAAACCGAACCACUGAAACCUGUGACCUCAUGCCCUCAAAGAGAGAGACCUGUGAUCUCAUGCCCUCAAAGAGAGAGACCUUUUCCUGUUCCCGACGGAUUGCCUCCGACCGAGGAAGAGCUUGAAGAAGCCGAAAGGGCCAGAAUGCCGGAUUCUCCUUUUACCAGACUACUCAGAAGCAAAGGGAAGUUCCCUGCUUGGUACACACCACCCCCAGACCAUGAGACUG